rnacentral:rRNA from 1 species
UACGUAGGGUGCAAGCGUUGUCCGGAAUUAUUGGGCGUAAAGGGCGCGUAGGUGGUCUGAUAAGGGUGUGGUGAAAGUCCGGGGCUCAACCCCGGAUCUGCCGUGCCGACUGUCAGACUCGAGGACUGUAGAGGCAGGCGGAAUUCCGGGUGUAGCGGUGGAAUGCGUAGAUAUCGCUUGGAACGCCGACGGUGAAAACAGUCUGCUGGGGGUGUGCUGACGCUGAGACACGAAAGCCAGGGGAGCGAACGGG